rnacentral:lncRNA from 1 species
AUGCAUAUAGGGUUCAAGGAUGAUUCUCUCUACAGUCCUUGUUAUUCUAGUACUGGUAUCUUCGGGUAGUUGUCAGUCUAAUGUAUCUCCAAUAGACUUCAACACACCUCAAUCCUGUAGCCAUGAUACUCAGUACUUCUACCCUGGAACCUCUCCUGUAUCUCUUGCCCACCCAACUCCAUCACUUCAAGCAAUGGAUUAUCCUGUAACUGUGUGACUGGAUACAGACAAACCUCUAACAUUGGACCAGUCACUUGUGAGGCCUGCCCUAGUCUCAGCUCAGUUAGAUCUGAUGAUGGUUUGUAUUGCCUCACUUGUCUGUCUCCAUUGAUAUACACUGGAGGGACUUGCACUGGCUGUGAGGAUCAGACUUCUAUAUUUGUUGACACAAUUCCCAUCAAUCGUUCAUCAACUGGAGACAGAAGGUGCCAAACAUGUCCAGCUAGCACGAUUGCUGACUCUAGCAAGAAGCUCUGUAUCCCUUGUGGUAUCAGUAAUUGCUCCAACUGCCUCUCAUUCACUAAUGGAGUCUGCUUCACUCAGCCACUCACUCCUCCUACUUCUACUCCCUUUCCAUUUUAUUCUAAUUUCAGUUCUUCCCUUGCUCUAUGCAACAAUGGUAGUUUGAGUGCCUGCCAGUUGUUGAUCAAUUUGUGUGUGCUUCAAGGUUAUAGCAUGACUGACCAAGCUUGUCAGGAAAUUAGACGUCUUUCAUCAAAUUCGUUAG